rnacentral:rRNA from 1 species
GACGAACGCUGGCGGCAUGCCUAAUACAUGCAAGUCGAGCGAACAGAUGAAGUGCUUGCACUUCUGACGUUAGCGGCGAACGGGUGAGUAACACGUAAGGAAUCUACCUAUAAGCGGGGGAUAACAUUUGGAAACGGGUGCUAAUACCGCAUAAUAUCUUCUCCCGCAUGGAAGAAGAUUGAAAGACGGCUCUGCUGUCACUUAUAGAUGACCUUGCGGUGCAUUAGUUAGUUGGUGGGGUAACGGCCUACCAAGACGAUGAUGCAUAGCCGACAUGAGAGGGGGAUCGGCCACAUUGGGACUGAGACACGGCCCAAACUCCUACGGGAGGCAGCAGUAGGGAAUCUGCCGCAAUGGGCGAAAGCCUGACGGAGCAAUGCCGCGUGAGUGAAGAAGGCCUUCGGGUCGUAAAACUCUGUUAUAAGAGAAGAACAAAUUGUAGAGUAACUGCUACAGUCUUGACGGUAUCUUAUCAGAAAGCCACGGCUAACUACGUGCCAGCCGCCGCGGUAA